UACGUAGGGUGCAAGCGUUGUUCGGAAUUACUGGGCGUAAAGGGCUCGUAGGCGGCCAACUAAGUCAGACGUGAAAUCCCUCGGCUUAACCGGGGAACUGCGUCUGAUACUGGAUGGCUUGAGUCCGGGAGAGGGAUGCGGAAUUCCGCGUGUAGCAGUGAAAUGCGUAGAUAUGCGGAGGAACACCGAUGGCGAAGGCAAUCCCCUGGGCCUGCACUGACGCUCAUGCACGAAAGCGUGGGGAGCAAACAGG
rnacentral:rRNA from 1 species